AUUGAACGCUGGCGGCAUGCCUUACACAUGCAAGUCGAACGGCAGCGCGGACUUCGGUCUGGCGGCGAGUGGCGAACGGGUGAGUAAUACAUCGGAACGUACCCUGUUGUGGGGGAUAACUAGUCGAAAGAUUAGCUAAUACCGCAUACGACCUGAGGGUGAAAGUGGGGGAUCGCAAGGCCUCACGCAGCAGGAGCGGCCGAUGUCUGAUUAGCUAGUUGGUGGGGUAAAGGCCCACCAAGGCGACGAUCAGUAGCUGGUCUGAGAGGACGAUCAGCCACACUGGGACUGAGACACGGCCCAGACUCCUACGGGAGGCAGCAGUGGGGAAUUUUGGACAAUGGGGGCAACCCUGAUCCAGCAAUGCCGCGUGUGUGAAGAAGGCCUUCGGGUUGUAAAGCACCUUUGUCCGGAAAGAAAUCGCGCUGGUUAAUACCUGGCGUGGAUGACGGUACCGGAAGAAUAAGCACCGGCUAACUACGUG
rnacentral:rRNA from 1 species